rnacentral:rRNA from 1 species
UAAGCGUCGGUGAGGUGAUAUGAACCGUUAUAACCGGCGAUUUCCGAAUGGGGAAACCCAGUGUGUUUCGACACACUAUCAUUAACUGAAUCCAUAGGUUAAUGAGGCGAACCGGGGGAACUGAAACAUCUAAGUACCCCGAGGAAAAGAAAUCAACCGAGAUUCCCCCAGUAGCGGCGAGCGAACGGGGAGGAGCCCAGAGCCUGAAUCAGUGUGUGUGUUAGUGGAAGCGUCUGGAAAGGCGUGCGAUACAGGGUGACAGCCCCGUACACAAAAAUGCACAUAUUGUGAGCUCGAUGAGUAGGGCGGGACACGUGGUAUCCUGUCUGAAUAUGGGGGGACCAUCCUCCAAGGCUAAAUACUCCUGACUGACCGAUAGUGAACCAGUACCGUGAGGGAAAGGCGAAAAGAACCCCGGCGAGGGGAGUGAAAAAGAACCUGAAACCGUGUACGUACAAGCAGUGGGAGCCUCUUAAUGGGGUGACUGCGUACCUUUUGUAUAAUGGGUCAGCGACUUAUAUUCUGUAGCAAGGUUAACCGAAUAGGGGAGCCGAAGGGAAACCGAGUCUUAACUGGGCGUUAAGUUGCAGGGUAUAGACCCGAAACCCGGUGAUCUAGCCAUGGGCAGGUUGAAGGUUGGGUAACACUAACUGGAGGACCGAACCGACUAAUGUUGAAAAAUUAGCGGAUGACUUGUGGCUGGGGGUGAAAGGCCAAUCAAACCGGGAGAUAGCUGGUUCUCCCCGAAAGCUAUUUAGGUAGCGCCUCGUGAAUUCAUCUCCGGGGGUAGAGCACUGUUUCGGCAAGGGGGUCAUCCCGACUUACCAACCCGAUGCAAACUGCGAAUACCGGAGAAUGUUAUCACGGGAGACACACGGCGGGUGCUAACGUCCGUCGUGAAGAGGGAAACAACCCAGACCGCCAGCUAAGGUCCCAAAGUCAUGGUUAAGUGGGAAACGAUGUGGGAAGGCCCAGACAGCCAGGAUGUUGGCUUAGAAGCAGCCAUCAUUUAAAGAAAGCGUAAUAGCUCACUGGUCGAGUCGGCCUGCGCGGAAGAUGUAACGGGGCUAAACCAUGCACCGAAGCUGCGGCAGCGACACUAUGUGUUGUUGGGUAGGGGAGCGUUCUGUAAGCCUGUGAAGGUGGCCUGUGAGGGUUGCUGGAGGUAUCAGAAGUGCGAAUGCUGACAUAAGUAACGAUAAAGCGGGUGAAAAGCCCGCUCGCCGGAAGACCAAGGGUUCCUGUCCAACGUUAAUCGGGGCAGGGUGAGUCGACCCCUAAGGCGAGGCCGAAAGGCGUAGUCGAUGGGAAACAGGUUAAUAUUCCUGUACUUGGUGUUACUGCGAAGGGGGGACGGAGAAGGCUAUGUUGGCCGGGCGACGGUUGUCCCGGUUUAAGCGUGUAGGCUGGUUUUCCAGGCAAAUCCGGAAAACCAAGGCUGAGGCGUGAUGA